rnacentral:rRNA from 1 species
GUGAACGCUGGCGGUAGGCCUAACACCUGCAAGUCGAACGGCAGCACAGUAAGAGCUUGCUCUUACGGGUGGCGAGUGGCGGACGGGUGAGGAAUACAUCGGAAUCUACUUUUUCGUGGGGGAUAACGUAGGGAAACUUACGCUAAUACCGCAUACGACCUACGGGUGAAAGCAAGGGAUCUUCGGACCUUGCGCGAUUGAAUGAGCCGAUGUCGGAUUAGCUAGUUGGCGGGGUAAAGGCCCACCAAGGCGACGAUCCGUAGCUGGUCUGAGAGGAUGAUCAGCCACACUGGAACUGAGACACGGUCCAGACUCCUACGGGAGGCAGCAGUGGGGAAUAUUGGACAAUGGGCGCAAGCCUGAUCCAGCCAUACUGCGUGGGUGAAGAAGGCCUUCGGGUUGUAAAGCCCUUUUGUUGGGAAAGAAAAGCAGCAGGUUAAUACCCCGCUGUUCUGACGGUACCCAAAGAAUAAGCACCGGCUAACUUCGUG